rnacentral:lncRNA from 1 species
CUAGGGCAAUGUAGGACACGGCAGUGCAGAAGUACUACUUCAGCGAGAUCAGGGCUGGGAAGAAACUGCGUUUCACAGGCCUUUGAAAGAGAUGUUCCCAUUAGGCUGUAAGAGCACUGUGGAGAGCGAGUUGAUUCUUAGCUUCCCAAAGAGCUGGAAGCAAGACCGUUUGUUGCUUGUCUCCUUUGGAGGCAAUGACUCAUUGUUUCGUGACUUAAACCUCUAGAGCAAUGUAGAACACAGCUUGGAGCAGAAGUUCCAAGAAAGCGACAUCAGGGCUGUGAAAAAGUGCAUUUCACGACUUUGUAUUAGAGGUUCCCGGUAGGCUGUAAGAGCCCAGGGGAAAGUGAGUUCUUACUCACAUUGCAAAAGAAUUGGAAGCAAGACGAUCGGUGGCCUGUCUCCCCUUUAGGAAGCCAGGCAGGGCUUUGUGACUACCACGUCUAGGGAAGUGUAGGACACGGCAGAGCAGAAGUUCUACUUCAGCGAGAUCAAGGCUGAGAAGAAACUGCAUUUCACAGGCCUUUGUGAGAGAUGUUCCUGGUAGGCUGUAAGAGCACUGUGGAGAGCGAGUUGUUUCUUAGCUUCCCAAAGUGCUGGAAGCAAGACCGUCUUUUCCCUGUCUCUUCUUAAGGAAGACAGGCAGAACUUGUGACUUCCACAUCUUGGGCAAUGUAUUACACGGCAGAGGAGAAGUUCUGCUUCAGUGAAAUCAUGGCUGGAAAGAAACUGUGUUUCACAGGCCUUUGUGAGAGAAGUUUCCAGUAGGCUGUAAGAGCACACUGGAGAGUGAGCUUUUUCUUGGCCGCCCUAAUUGCUGGAAGCAAGAUGCUAGGUGUACUGUCUCCCCUUGUGGAAACAAGGUAG